UUUUUUUUUUUUUUUUUUUUUUUUUUUUUUUUUUUUUUUUUUUUUUUUUUUUUUUUUUUUUUUUUUUUUUUUUUUUUUUUUUUUUUUUUUUUUUUUUUUUUUUUUUUUUUUUUUUUUUUUUUUUUUUUUUUUUUUUUUUUUUUUUUUUUUUUUUUUUUUUUUUUUUUUUUUUUUUUUUUUUUUUUUUUUUUUUUUUUUUUUUUUUUUUUUUUUUUUUUUUUUUUUUUUUUUUUUUUUUUUUUUUUUUUUUUUUUUUUUUUUUUUUUUUUUUUUUUUUUUUUUUUUUUUUUUUUUUUUUUUUUUUUUUUUUUUUUUUUUUUUUUUUUUUUUUUUUUUUUUUUUUUUUUUUUUUUUUUUUUUUUUUUUUUUUUUUUUUUUUUUUUUUUUUUUUUUUUUUUUUUUUUUUUUUUUUUUUUUUUUUUUUUUUUUUUUUUUUUUUUUUUUUUUUUUUUUUUUUUUUUUUUUUUUUUUUUUUUUUUUUUUUUUUUUUUUUUUUUUUUUUUUUUUUUUUUUUUUUUUUUUUUUUUUUUUUUUUUUUUUUUUUUUUUUUUUUUUUUUUUUUUUUUUUUUUUUUUUUUUUUUUUUUUUUUUUUUUUUUUUUUUUUUUUUUUUUUUUUUUUUUUUUUUUUUUUUUUUUUUUUUUUUUUUUUUUUUUUUUUUUUUUUUUUUUUUUUUUUUUUUUUUUUUUUUUUUUUUUUUUUUUUUUUUUUUUUUUUUUUUUUUUUUUUUUUUUUUUUUUUUUUUUUUUUUUUUUUUUUUUUUUUUUUUUUUUUUUUUUUUUUUUUUUUUUUUUUUUUUUUUUUUUUUUUUUUUUUUUUUUUUUUUUUUUUUUUUUUUUUUUUUUUUUUUUUUUUUUUUUUUUUUUUUUUUUUUUUUUUUUUUUUUUUUUUUUUUUUUUGUUUUUUUAACAAAAAGAUAAUUGCCAACUCGUGCCAACCGUGGACAACCACCCACUACCAUUGUAAAGAAUCCCAACACGCUUGAAAACACAACGUAGCAAACAAAAU
rnacentral:lncRNA from 1 species